UUCAAAAUUUAUUUGAUUGACUAUUGAAAACACGCUCUCUAUAAUUUUUUUCAAGAAAAAACUCAAUUUUUAGCAUAAAUUAAAAUAUACCAUAUUUAAACUGUCAAAAACCAUUCCCACUGGAGGAUAAAUAAUAUAUGUUAUCUAACACGUUUUCUCUGUAAUGUUGUCAACAAUAAUAUACGAAAAGACAAAGUAUAUUUAAGAGCCCCCACUAUGCUUGUGUUUCUCUCUCGUCGCAAUAAUUACUUAUUAAAGUACGAGAAAAGACAAAGUACACGUGAGAUAGGAAAACGACUACUCUAACAAUUUAGGUCUCAUUUGGCUGGAGGAUUUGGAGGGGUAUAAUUUUUUUCCCGGAUAACUUUUUUCUCGGAAUGUUUGGCUAGCGGAUAUGCCCCCGGAUAAGUUAUGCCCCCGAAGGUAGAUAAUUUUUGGGUUGCCUAGACCCCUAACUAAAAAUUAUCCGGGGGAUAAGGGAUACCGCCCCCCUCUCUCCCCCGCCCCCCCCUGUCUCCUUUCUCGUCUCCUCUAUCUACAUCUCUCAGCCCUGCCCACUCUUUUUCCUCUAUCCCUCUUUUCUCUUUUCUUUUCUCUCAUUCCUUUUCUUCCUUCCUCCUAACCUACCUUAUCCACUCAUUCUAAAAAAGUAUCCAAAACAAAAGUUAAAAGUUAUCCCAUCCAAAGUUAUCACCUCUAAAAAGUUUCCUCCCCUAAAAAUUAUGCUGCCUCCCUUAUCCUCAGCCAAACGGGCCCUUGGGGUAAGGUAAAUGUUACGUAGUACGUACCCCCACCAAUUGAAAUAACACCGACACCCAUAGUUAUGAAAACGGACGAACCGGCAGGUUCAACCGGUUCAAUCGAAACUGGGCACUAAAUCGGUUCGGACACAACAUUUUAUCGCAUCGGAAAAAUGCAAGCCAACCGGAUUGAACCGGUUUGAAUCGGCCGAUUUUUUUUUUUUAACAGAAAAAAUAAAGUUUUAAUUUUUACAGUUUGACCCAAAAAUUUUAAUUAAAGUUUUACUUUUUACAAUGACCCCAAAAUUUGAAUUAAAUUAUUUUUUUAAUCGUUUUCUAAAUUAAUUUUUACUAUGAAUGGGUAAUAAAAAAAUUUUUUUUUUUUUUAUAAUAAAAAUAUAAUUUUAUUAUAUUAAUUAUAAAUCCGGUUGAACCGUGGUUGUUUGAACCCAAGGGAACCGUGUGAACCAGUAUUUUGACCGGUUCAAUGUCCGGUUCGGUUCUGAUAACUAUGCCGCGACACCCCUUAAUAUCUGAAAAGGGUAAUGCUAUGAGUACAUUCAAUUUACACCCUAAAUGCAUAUUUGAUGAGGUGGAGUAUUUAAAUUGGUUGGGUGUGGGGUCCACACAGUCCUUUCACCCCACACAUAGCCAAUCUAAAUACUUCAUCUCAUCAGGGGUGCAAGUUGGAUGUACCAUAGCAUUUCUCAUAUCUGAAAACGGUAAAUUUUGACUGACCUCGCAUGAUAUUUUUGAAUCAAAAUCCAACACGUGUACAUUAGUCCAAUUCCUAUUUAAUGGGCUAUUGGGGCCAUAGCCCCUGCAUGUUUCCUCUCGCUGCAUCCACAUGGAGACUGAUCUAAUGUCCCUUUCUUAUCUGUCCUUUCUUUCUUUUUUCAUUAAUUCAAAAGAGGUGAUCAGAUGUGGCGCACCCAUUGUAAUACCAUGGGAGCGUCCCUGAGGGCUCACUACAAUCACAUAAUUUUUUUCAAAUUAUGUCUUAUUUAUUUUUGAAAUCACUCAGCCACAAAAUAUGUGGCUGUGGUGAGGCCACGGAGGGCGCUCCCAUGAUAUUAUCACGGACACGCACCUAUCUGAUCACCACUCUUAAUUUAAUGCGAUGCUCGGAAAAGGUACAAUGGAGUCUUACACGAAUCUCGUAAGUGUUUGCAAUAGUUUAUCUCCUUUAAUUCAUAAACCAUAUAUAAUACUUUAUAUACCGAAGGCAUUAUGAAAUCUAAAAUAUUCCUAAAAUUAUAAUUUAGGUUCGAGUCAAAAAAUUCACAACUACGACCUACAAGCUGAUGAGAUACCAACAUACAUACACCACAAUCAUAUGGUCCUCACUGAUCUCUCUUCUCGACGCCUACACAUGCAUUAUAUGCGCAUAAAAUAUUUGAAGUGUUAAACUAAUCCCAUAUCAAAUAGUUUUGGGAAUACUCCACCUCAUGCUAAUGAUCUUUACUUUACAAUAACAAUUUGUACUACUACAAACAAUUCGCCUUGCUAGAUGCAUUAAAUUGAACUUUCAAGUUCCAAAUUUCUAUUUUGGGAAUUAAAAAGCUUUUUUAAUUGUGCUAUCUGAAAUGACCUUUGGUUUUAACACAUGUAAUAAUUAAAAAAUAUCUUAGCUUUAUCGCCAAAUAUGUGUGUUGAUGAUAUUAUCUAGGGGUGUCUGAAAAUUUAAAAAAAAAACGAUAAAUCAGAUCAAACCAAAUUGGAUCGAACCGUAUGGCUGGUGUGGUCCGGUUCUACGAUUUAGAUUGUUUCAAUACUAAUUUUAAAAAAUAUUAAAUUGGUCUAUAUAGUUCAGUCUUAGUUCUUUAUUUCAGAAUUGUGGUUCAAAAUAAACUGGGCCUGUUUUGUUAAGAACAGAGUUCUGUAACUGGAAUUGAUAUUGCUGAUAGCUGGAAGAAGAAAGAAGAAAAUAGAUUUCCCUAUUCGAGCUAGGGAUAAAGCUCUUAAAAGAACCAAGUAAAGACGGAAUUUUUCAUUCCCUUCUGAAUCAAUGUUACAUUCUUUAUAUUGCUGGACGUUUGACAAGAAUUCAAGGAAUGAUAUCUAACAGUUUUAAACACUAACUGAAUUAACCCAUUCUUGAUAUUGCCCAUGCUUCAGUUAUCUGUUAGCAUAGUUAUUUUGCCAUGCUUUACAUCAUGUUCCUGUCUUUUAAGUCUUAAUCUUUCAUUCAUUCUGGCCUUUUGAUACUCCUUCUUGUUCUAUCAUCCGCUACAAAGCUGUUCUCUCCUACUACCACUGCAUUCGUAACAUGUUUACGUACAUACAUAGCGUGUAUGUGUAAGUUAAACCCAUCCUAACCUUCCUAAUUUAUUUUAUAUUGAGGUAUCAUUACUUAUUGUUUGAUGUUGUAUGAAUUUUUUGGGUUUUCGAUUUUUGCGGUUGUUAUGCUUAGUUUUUUCUAAAGUGGAAUGUUGUCAUGUUAUUUUAAAAUGUAGAUAGUUUAGAAUUUAAAUGUCAGGUAUAAAAUUUAGGAUGUUUGCCUGUGGCAUUUAUUCCAUUCGUCUCAUAGAACUUUUGUUAUUUUAGUUUGGAAUGUCCGAAAAUGUAUAUUCAAUUCGACAGUUAAUAACGAAAAUAUACAACUUUUCUCUUUUAGCCUUUUUUUUAUAAAUUAUUUAAGUAAUAUCAACCAAAACAAAAAAUUAAAUGUAAUAAUUACAGGGAUAAAAUUGGAGAGUCAAUAAAAAUUAAAUGUAAUAAUUAUAUUCCCUUAAAAAGGUUAACUCCCCGAAAUCACACUUCCGUUUGAGGUGGACGGAGUAGAUGUUAAAACUUGAAUGUUAUGUUUUGUUUAUACUGUGUUUAUGUUAUCGGUCUUAACAAUGAGGAUGAUAUUUUUGUCACACAUUAAUCUAAUAAUUAAUUCAAAAAAAAUAGAGAAAAGUUUGGGGACCUCGCAUAGAAUUAAAAGUGCGAGAAAAAAAUUGCAAUGUUUAGAGUAAAUUUCAAAAUAGUCCCUAUAAUUUUUUUUAACAUUGAUUUUGGUUCUUAUAUUUUUAAAUCCCAUGAUUUUAACCUUGUAUUUUAAUUUACAUGCCUAAUCAAUUUAAUUGAUAACCAAAGUUAAGUUGUUGGACAUAUUUUCAAUACAUUUUGAACAUAUGACUUCAUUUGAUGGCAAUUUAUAGUUGGAUUUAUCAAAUUAUAAUAGAAUUUAAGCAAUUUACAGUGAGAAUAGGAAAAAAGUUGAUUUUAUCACUCAAAUGAUGGUACAUGUCGGCCAAUAGUGAAAAUUCAUCCAAAAACAUAACAUUCAUGACCAAUUGGCUUAAUUAGGUGAGAAAAUCAAAAUAUAAAAUUAAAACCGCGGAAUUUUAAAAUACAUGGAUCAAAAUCUUGAAUGAAUAAAACUACAAUGACCGUUUUUGAAAUUUAAUCAUAUUUUAAGAUUCAAUUUGACGAAAUGUUUUUUUCAAAAUUUAUUUGGUUGAUGAUUGAGAACAUGCUCUCUAUGAAUUUCUCGAGAAAAACUCAUUUAUUAGCAAAAAUUAAAAUAGUAUUUAGUGACGGCAUAUAGAAUUAAGAGGGUGAGAGAAAAAAUGGCAAUGUUUAAUAAAUAUUUAUAAAAUUAUUUUAAUAUUUUUAAAAUUACUUUUGCAAAAUAAUUUUUAAAAAUUUAUUUGGUCGACGGUUUAAAACGUACUCUCUUUGAAUUUGUCGGGGGAAAAAAAUCUCAUUUUUGGAUAAAAUUAGAAGGGUAUAUUUAAGUUCUCAAAAACUAUUUCUGCUAAAAGAUAAAUACUGUAUGGUAUUUAAAAUAAGCUGUAUCAUUUAAGCUGUCUAUGAUACAUUUUUAAAUGUUUAGUUGGCUCUAGAGAAGGUGGGUGCUGAUGGAAGAAUUGAGGUGUAUUUAGGAGCUCUCACUAUGGUUGGGCCAAGGAGAACCCCAAAAGAUGACUUUUCUUUAAUACAAACUUGCCCGAAAAUGAAAUUACAAAGGACACCAACCACAUAAUUAAAAUAAAAAAGUUUCUCUUGACGCCUCUCUCCUGACUGACCAAGUUGUUGCAACUACUACUCAUGAUUUUCUCCUGAUAUUAUAUUUAACUUAUAUAGGAAUAAAGUAUAGAAUUAAAAAAAUUUCAAAAUACCAAGAUUUGUUUUUAUCCCUCAAAUGACGAUUCAUGUCAAAAAAAAGUGAAAAUCUAUCCCAAAAUAUAACAUUCAUUAUCAAUUGGAUUAAUGAGGCGAUAAAAUAAAAAUAUAAGUUAAAAUCGCAAAAUUAAAAAAUAUAGGGAC
rnacentral:lncRNA from 1 species